GACGAACCGUGCGAACGUUGUUCGGAAUCACUGGGCUUAAAGGGCGCGUAGGCGGCCAACUAAGUCAGACGUGAAAUCCCCAGGCUCAACCUGGGAACUGCGUCUGAUACUGGAUGGCUUGAAUCCGGGAGAGGGAUGCAGAAUUCCAGGUGUAGCGGUGAAAUGCGUAGAUAUCUGGAGGAAUACCGGUGGCGAAGGCGGCAUCCUGGACCGGCAUUGACGCUGAGGAGCGAAAGCCAGGGGAGCAAACGGG
rnacentral:rRNA from 1 species